AACGUAGGAGACAAACGUUAUCCGGAGUUACUGGGCGUAAAGGGCGUGUAGGUGGUUUUGUAAGUCUGGCGUGAAAUUUUUCGGCUUAACCGGGAAAGGUCGUCGGAUACUGCACAACUAGAGGACGGUAGAGGCGUGUGGAAUUCCGGGUGUAGUGGUGAAAUGCGUAGAGAUCCGGAGGAACACCAGUGGCGAAGGCGACACGCUGGGCCGUACCUGACACUGAUGCGCGACAGCAUGGGGAGCAAACGGG
rnacentral:rRNA from 1 species